rnacentral:rRNA from 1 species
CCUACGGGUGGCUGCAGUGGGGAAUAUUGGACAAUGGGGCAACCCUGAUCCAGCCAUGCCGCGUGUGUGAAGAAGGCCCUCGGGUUGUAAAGCACUUUCAGUGAGGAAGAACGCCUGGUGGUUAAUACCCAUCAGGAAAGACAUCACUCACAGAAGAAGCACCGGCUAACUCCGUGCCAGCAGCCGCGGUAAUACGGAGGGUGCGAGCGUUAAUCGGAACUACUGGGCGUAAAGCGCGCGUAGGUGGCUUGAUAAGCCGGUUGUGAAAGCCCCGGGCUCAACCUGGGAACGGCAUCCGGAACUGUCAAGCUAGAGUGCAGGAGAGGAAGGUAGAAUUCCCGGUGUAGCGGUGAAAUGCGUAGAGAUCGGGAGGAAUACCAGUGGCGAAGGCGGCCUUCUGGACUGACACUGACACUGAGGUGCGAAAGCGUGGGUAGCAAACAGGAUUAGAUACCCCGGUAGUC